GCCGUAGGUGAACCUGCGGAAGGAUCAUUG
rnacentral:rRNA from 1 species